CCGCCCAGAAGAUGGCGAGCCCGUGCGGGCGGCAGCAGUGCUCCAUCCAGAGGCGCGGCGUCCGCCACCAGCUCGAUUCGUGGCGACACAAGCUUAUUCACUGUGUAGAUCCAGUUUCUGAUCCUACUUCCACAUUUGGGAGUAUGCAAGGGACAAACACAUCUCUUUGCGUAGCUUGACUGGAUAUCCCAAGACUAGGAUGAAAAUAUCAUCUGCCAAAUGGAAAAGGACAAUCGGUGGGAAAAGAAAUGUUCUUUUCAAGCUUCUAAGAGCAGUGACAAUGGAGAGAAAAAAUACUAUAAAAAGUCAGGUUGGUCGGCCCUUUCCCACUGUUCCUGCCACUUCCUGAAGCCUGAAUUGGCUUUUUUUGGAGGCAGUGCUACUUCUCUGCCUGACAAGGGUUUGAAAGUAUUCUAGAAGGCCUGUUUGGACCUGGAUUAUUAAAAGAUCUCAGUUUGUUUAAAGACUGUGAGCCUGAAGGUGUUUCUGAUUGGUCUUUUGAUGAAAAUUGUCUUUUCUGCUGCC